rnacentral:lncRNA from 1 species
GCCCAGGAGGCGGUGGCUAUUGUUCCCCGCAGGGGCCCGGGGCGCCCUGAAACGGGGUCCACGUCAGCCCGCUCCCGAGCGUGUCCUCAGAUCUGGGGACCCUUCACCUGCCUCUACUACUGCAAAUGAUUGGAUAUUCGUCUGCCUUGGCUCUUCCCUAAUGUGUGGAACUAAUUUUGUUCACUCUGUUUCAUGCUGGACCUGGCCUGAAAAUGGGCCCUUAUAUUGUCUUUGCACUUUCCAACUUGCCAAGGCCUUCUGCAAGAGAGACCUAAGAACCAGCUCUCAAAGAUG